rnacentral:rRNA from 1 species
UGGGGAAUAUUGCGCAAUGGGCGAAAGCCUGACGCAGCCACGCCGUGUGAGCGAUGAAGGCCCUCGGGUCGUAAAGCUCUGUGGAGGGAGAAGAAGUUCUGACGGUAUCCCUUUAGCAAGCACCGGCUAACUCCGUGCCAGCAGCCGCGGUAAUACGGAGGGUGCAAACGUUGCUCGGAAUCAUUGGGCGUAAAGCGCACGUAGGCGGCUUGGCAAGUUGGAUGUGAAAGCCCGGGGCUCAACCCCGGAAGUGCAUCCAAAACUGCUAGGCUUGAGUCCCGGAGGGGCCCAGAGAAUUCCCGGUGUAGAGGUGAAAUUCGUAGAUAUCGGGAGGAAUACCAGUGGCGAAGGCGCUGGGCUGGACGGGUACUGACGCUGAGGUGCGAAAGCGUGGGGAGCAAACAGGAUUAGAUACCCCCGUAGUCC